ACCAAAAGCACUUUGCACUGCAUGAGAGACAACCCUGUGUUGCGUCUGAGCCCAAAAUCCAGACACUACUCCAGAAUGAGGUUUUUCCCCUCCAGAUGCUCAUUAUCUUAAUUAAGAUGUUCUUUGUUAGUAAAUUCAACCAUAUCUGCACAAAUCCUCAUAAAGAGGGGAGCCUAGGAGACCCUGCAUUCACCCACAGGUGGAUUUUCCACGGACAAGGGAACACCACGAACAGAAGCCCUCAGGUGGAGAGAGAUUCUACCUCAAGAUGUGGAAAUGCGAGAGAAAAUGGGAGAAUGGAAAGCUAAGUGUUUUGAUGCUCCACGCCACAGUCUUGGGAAUUUGAUUUAAGCAUUGACCAGCUAAGGAACUGCAAGCCAGGCCAGUUGGGAAGGCUUGGACAUGAAUUCCAGUGCCCUGCAGACACCGCAGCCUUCAGCAGAGUGACCCAGUGGAGGAGGAACCUCAGCCCCUGCCCAUCUCUGCUCUCCCUUUCCUUUCUCCUUUCUCUCCCAUCUUCCGAGGUGCCAAGGUCCUGGAAUUGCCCUCUGACUUUCCAAAAAUGUCCAUUCCACACAGCUCUUCCUUCCUGCCUCCAUCAGAGCUGGUUCCCUGAGCCCCACUGAUCUUUGGAUAUUUGAAAAAAGUAACUCACAAGAGCCUAGAGGAGUAACUCAACCAGGGUACUCAUGUUUGAAAGGGUAGCUUCUUGUCCAAAUGCAUCUCCAAUUGCUAGACAGCAUGCAAAUGAGAGAGCAGGAAGUUGCCAGACCGGACACCAACCA
rnacentral:lncRNA from 1 species